AUACAUGCAAGUCGAACGAUCCCUUCGGGGAUAGUGGCGCACGGGUGCGUAACGCGUGGGAAUCUGCCCUUGGGUUCGGAAUAACUUCUGGAAACGGAAGCUAAUACCGGAUGAUGACGUAAGUCCAAAGAUUUAUCGCCCAAGGAUGAGCCCGCGUAGGAUUAGCUAGUUGGUGAGGUAAAGGCUCACCAAGGCGACGAUCCUUAGCUGGUCUGAGAGGAUGAUCAGCCACACUGGGACUGAGACACGGCCCAGACUCCUACGGGAGGCAGCAGUAGGGAAUAUUGGACAAUGGGGGAAACCCUGAUCCAGCAAUGCCGCGUGAGUGAUGAAGGCCUUAGGGUUGUAAAGCUCUUUUACCCGGGAUGAUAAUGACAGUACCGGGAGAAUAAGCUCCGGCUAACUCCGUGCCAGCAGCCGCGGUAAUACGGAGGGAGCUAGCGUUGUUCGGAAUUACUGGGCGUAAAGCGCACGUAGGCGGCUAUUCAAGUCAGAGGUGAAAGCCCGGGGCUCAACCCCGGAACUGCCUUUGAAACUAGAUAGCUUGAAUCCAGGAGAGGUGAGUGGAAUUCCGAGUGUAGAGGUGAAAUUCGUAGAUAUUCGGAAGAACACCAGUGGCGAAGGCGGCUCACUGGACUGGUAUUGACGCUGAGGUGCG
rnacentral:rRNA from 1 species